rnacentral:rRNA from 1 species
UACGUAGGGGGCUAGCGUUGUCCGGAAUCAUUGGGCGUAAAGGGCGCGUAGGCGGCCUUCUAAGUCGAACGUGAAAUCCCCGGGCUCAACCCGGGAACUGCGUCCGAUACUGGAAGGCUUGAAUCCGGGAGAGGGAUGCGGAAUUCCAGGUGUAGCGGUGAAAUGCGUAGAUAUCUGGAGGAACACCGGUGGCGAAGGCGGCAUCCUGGACCGGCAGUUGACGCU